GCCAGACUCCUACGGGAGGCAGCAGUGGGGAAUAUUGCGCAAUGGGCGAAAGCCUGACGCAGCGACGCCGCGUGAGGGAUGAAGGUUCUCGGAUCGUAAACCUCUGUCAGAAGGGAAGAAAUUAUAUCAUGCUAAUCAGUGGUGUAUUGACGGUACCUUCAAAGGAAGCACCGGCUAACUCCGUGCCAGCAGCCGCGGUAAUACGGAGGGUGCGAGCGUUGUCCGGAAUCAUUGGGCGUAAAGCGUUCGUAGGCGGUAUGUCAAGUCUGAUGUUAAAGCCCGGGGCUCAACUCCGGUUCGGCAUUGGAUACUGGCAAACUAGAAUGUGGUAGAGGUAAAGGGAAUUCCUGGUGUAGCGGUGAAAUGCGUAGAUAUCAGGAGGAACAUCGGUGGCGAAAGCGCUUUACUGGACCAUUAUUGACGCUGAGGAACGAAAGCCAGGGGAGCAAAUGGGAUUAGAUACCCCGUA
rnacentral:rRNA from 1 species